rnacentral:rRNA from 1 species
GGCGGCGUGCUUAACACAUGCAAGUCGAACGGAGCGAAUGAAAGCUUGCUUUUAUGAGCUUAGUGGCAAACGGGUGAGUAACACGUAGACAACCUGCCGAUCAGAUGGGGACAACAUUCCGAAAGGAAUGCUAAUACCGAAUGGCGUGGAGGGAAGGCAUCUUCCUUUCAUGAAAGAUGGCCUCUAUAUAUAAGCUAUCACUGAUCGAUGGGUCUGCGUCUGAUUAGCUAGUAGGUAAGGUAACGGCUUACCUAGGCGACGAUCAGUAGCCGGUCUGAGAGGAUGAACGGCCACAUUGGGACUGAGACACGGCCCAGACUCCUACGGGAGGCAGCAGUGGGGAAUCUUCCGCAAUGGGCGCAAGCCUGACGGAGCAACGCCGCGUGAGUGAAGAAGGUCUUCGGAUCGUAAAGCUCUGUUGAAGGGGACGAACGUACAUAAGUUGAAUAAGCUUAUGUAAUGACGGUACC